GACGAAGGGGGCUAGCGUUGUUCGGAAUUACUGGGCGUAAAGCGCGUGUAGGCGGUUGUUCAAGUCAGGUGUGAAAGCCUUGAGCUCAACUCAAGAAAUGCACUUGAUACUGGAUGACUAGAGGACCGGAGAGGAUAGUGGAAUUCCCAGUGUAGUGGUGAAAUACGUAGAGAUUGGGAAGAACACCAGUGGCGAAGGCGGCUCACUGGCCCGGUACUGACGCUGAGGCACGAAAGCGUGGGGAGCAAACAGG
rnacentral:rRNA from 1 species